rnacentral:rRNA from 1 species
AGUGAACGCUGGCGGUAGGCCUAACACAUGCAAGUCGAACGGCAGCACAGUAAGAGCUUGCUCUUACGGGUGGCGAGUGGCGGACGGGUGAGGAAUACAUCGGAAUCUACUUUUUCGUGGGGGAUAACGUAGGGAAACUUACGCUAAUACCGCAUACGACCUACGGGUGAAAGCAGGGGAUCUUCGGACCUUGCGCGAUUGAAUGAGCCGAUGUCGGAUUAGCUAGUUGGCGGGGUAAAGGCCCACCAAGGCGACGAUCCGUAGCUGGUCUGAGAGGAUGAUCAGCCACACUGGAACUGAGACACGGUCCAGACUCCUACGGGAGGCAGCAGUGGGGAAUAUUGGACAAUGGGCGCAAGCCUGCUCCAGCCAUACCGCGUGGGUGAAGAAGGCCUUCGGGUUGUAAAGCCCUUUUGUUGGGAAAGAAAAGCAGCAGGUUAAUACCCCGCUGUUCUGACGGUACCUAAAGAAUAAGCACCGGCUAACUUCGUG